rfam:Pedobacter steynii strain DX4, complete genome.
UUAGGUGCCUAUAUCGGUGGUGUCUACCUCUUCCCAUUCCGAACAGAGAAGUCAAGCCCACCAGAGCCGAUGGUACUGCGGUAACACGUGGGAGAGUAGGUCGGUGCCAAAU